CUGUGGGUUUGGUGUUGAGCAAUACGCGAUACGGUUUGUUUGAAAUACAGUAUGUACCGAAGAACGACUUAGGUCUAACCAAAAACGUUUGGUGGUGCUUAUCUUUUUUUCAACAUUUGACCUCAAAUCAGGUAGGACUACCCGCUGAACUUAAGCAUAUCAAUAAGCGGAGGAAAAGAAACCAACAGGGAUUGCCUUAGUAGCGGCGAGUGAAGCGGCAAAAGCUCAAAUUUGAAAUCUGGUACUUUCAGUGCCCGAGUUGUAAUUUGAAGAAGGUAUCUUUGGGUCUGGCGCUUGUCUAUGUUUCUUGGAACAGAACGUCACAGAGGGUGAGAAUCCCGUGCGAUGAGAUGAUCCAGACCUAUGUAAAGUUCCUUCGACGAGUCGAGUUGUUUGGGAAUGCAGCUCUAAGUGGGUGGUAAAUUCCAUCUAAAGCUAAAUAUUGGCGAGAGACCGAUAGCGAACAAGUACAGUGAUGGAAAGAUGAAAAGAACUUUGAAAAGAGAGUGAAAAAGUACGUGAAAUUGUUGAAAGGGAAGGGCUUGAGAUCAGACUUGGUAUUUUGUAUGUUACUUCUUCGGGGGUGGCCUCUGCAGUUUAUCGGGCCAGCAUCAGUUUGGACGGUAGGACAAUUGCGGUGGAAUGUGGCACAGCCUCGGUUGUGUGUUAUAGCCACUGUAGAUGCUGCCAGUCUAGACUGAGGA
rnacentral:rRNA from 1 species